AACAAUUCACCACAAACAAUAAGUGUAUGAACAGACUUGCAUGCCUUAGUUAACAUUGAUAUCAGUAACAUUUAGUCAGAAUCAACAUAUUAAGAACCAAACAGUUAGUAUUCCAAUGUCUGUUUUUGAUAAACAAGCAUCAGACAGGUAACAAUUCACCACAAUCAAACUGAAUCAACAUUAAACUGAUCAAUUAAUUAUCAAAUAGAGAAAGGAAGAACUAGAUGGACAUACAUGUUGACGAAUCCGGGAAGAAGAUGGCGGCGAGCUUGGCCUUGGAGGUGUCGACGGCGCGGGUCAGAGGAGGUUGAGGACGGGAGUGGAUGCGGGUCUGGGAGCCGAGGGCGUGGACGGGAGGGGAUCGGAUGCGGGUCUGGGUGUCACAUCCCGACCCUUAUAUUUUUACCUUAUUUACUAGCGUGAUUAUAAUAAGAAUUUUACCGUCUCGAUCAUUGAGUAAAUAGUUUAAUUGGUCCCUAGAGGGGUUUCGGGGACGAUUAUGUGCGGAGGAUUAUUCGUAUGAGGAAAAUACGAUGACGGUAAAAAUAGUAAAUUUUAGCUAGUAAAAGGUAAUUUUUAUUCGGGUAUUAUUUUUCAGGGUGUUGAAUUUUGGAAUUAUGGGUUAAAAGGGGUGUUGGGUCGGCUGGGCCGAGCCCAACCCAUUUCUUCUUCUUUCUCUUCUCCCUCCCUCCCGAUUUUUCUUCUCCUCCCACCCGAUUUUCUUCUCUCUACACCCAGCAAACUUCCGGCCGUCCUCCCGCCGCCGUCCGACCUCCGUUUGCCGCCGGACCGGUCCCGUUCGGUCGGUCUCCCUCCCAGCUUCCAUUCUAGGCCGGUAGCAGCCCCCCUAGCGCCGCCGUGAGUGAGCGGUGCCGCCCGUAAGGUCCGACUGUCCAAACCUUCCCUUCGCCGGAACUUCCUCCUCCGGCCACCAAUCCGGGCAAGCUUGGUAUGGUUUUGUAGCCCUCCAACCCAGCAACCUUGCCCUAAAAGGACUCACUCCCUCUUGAGCUAGGUAAGGAGAAAUUUGAGGUGGAAGUUUUAUGGUGUUUUUGAUU
rnacentral:lncRNA from 1 species